UACGUAGGGGGCUAGCGUUGUCCGGAAUCAUUGGGCGUAAAGCGCGCGUAGGCGGCCCGGUAAGUCCGCUGUAAAAGUCCAGGGCUCAACCCUGGAAAGCCGGUGGAUACUGUCGGGCUCGAGUCCGGAAGAGGCGAGUGGAAUUCCUGGUGUAGCGGGUGGAAUGGCGCAGAUAGUCAAGGAGGAACACCGAUGGCGAAGGCA
rnacentral:rRNA from 1 species